rnacentral:rRNA from 1 species
ACGCUCGACACCUGAGGCAGCAGUAGGGAAUCUUCCACAAUGGACGCAAGUCUGAUGGAGCAACGCCGCGUGAGUGAAGAAGGUCUUCGGAUCGUAAAACUCUGUUGUUAGAGAAGAACACGAGUGAGAGUAACUGUUCAUUCGAUGACGGUAUCUAACCAGCAAGUCACGGCUAACUACGUGGCAGCAGCCGCGGUAAUCUGAGCGGGCUGGCAAGGC